AAACUGCUAAUAUUUUACCCAAAAAUAGAAAAUCAAUGCAUAAGCAAGUAAUAUGCAGUCCAUAUAGGUCCCAUAUGGGUCCCAUUUGGGCCGCCCAACAAAGCACAAAAUCAGCUACCGGGCUGUUUCUGGGCAAACUCAUAUGGGUAAGCCCAAAUGGGAGUCAUUUGGGACCUAUAUGGGUUAGCCCAUAUGGGAAUGCCCUUAAGGGUCCCAUAUAGGUCCCAUAUUAUUGCGCUAUCAGGAUAAAGAUAUAAACUUUUAUUUAUUUGAUUAAAAACUCAUUUCUUAAAACGUAUGUAUGACAAACUUGAUCUCAACUGCUAAUAUUUUACCCCAAAAUAUAAAAUCAAUGCAUAAGCAAAUAAUAUGCAGCCCAUAUGGGUCCCAUACGGGUCCCAUUUGGGCCGCCCAACAAAGUACAAAAUCAGCUAUCGGGCGCACAUUUUUUGAAAAUGCUGUUUUUGAUAUUGCUUUGUUUUAAAUAAUGUAUAUACUAUGAUUAAUAUGUAGUUAUUUUCAAGAGAUAAUUUUAAUUUAAAUAAUCGCGCAGAAAAAUAAAGUAUUUAAAUAAUAUGCGCAUGCGCAGAUGUUAAUUCCGCCUCGCCUCGCAUUCAAAACAAAAACACUCGAAACGAAAAUAAAAUAUUCACCACCGCCUCGUUUGCCAACAUCGUCUUUACAAGGAAUGUCCAGCAGUGCAUGACAGAGGCCGGUCACUUCCAUUAAGUCCAGGCAGCUGAAGAGCCUUCCCAAAGACAGUUCAUAGGACAAAAUGCAGUUACACAGAUUUUAACGGUGUUGGAAACAAUGAGAGACGAGAACAGGGAAAUGAAGCGGAUGCUGCAGCAGCUCUUGGCUAGGUCAGCUACUGAUGACGAGCCAAUGCAACUGCCAGAGAACAUCAUUCUUCCAAUUGGAACAUUUGAGCAAAUGGAUGAGUUUGAAGAGCAUCUUGGUGAUGAAGCUACGAUCCAUCUUUUCUAGGACUGCUGCAUAGUUCAAGCUUUUUUAUCAAAUAUAUUAAGCAAUGUUGUAAAUGUAAUUGACAGUUUUUUCUCCAUUAAUCCUAAACCAUUCCUUUAAGGCUCAUCUUCUAAGAAAGCAAACAAUCUUUUUUAUCUGGAAAUGAAACGGUAUAUAUUCCUUUGCAAAAGAAGAAACAGCAUUCCAGUUUUUGAAGGUUUUAAAAGACAUAUAUAUAUAUAUAUAUAUAUAUAUAUAUAUAUAUAUAUAUAUAUAUAUAUAUAUAUAUAUAUAUAUAUCAUGUGCAAUUACGAAAAACACUAGAAUGUAUGAAGAUAUCAAAGAUAAUAAUAUGGACUUGUUCUCGAAAAAGGAUUUGCCAUUUAUUUCAGUUUUGGAUUUUUUUGCAGGGUUUUUAAUGUGUAGUUUAUAAAAUAUUUUGUUUAGUCUUGGACUCAUAUCGUACAUCAAAUCAUUUCUGUCUUCAGUUGUCAAAACACCUAUAUACUGUUUGAUUCCAAUAAUGUCGCUUUAAUGGAAUUACCAUUUGUAUUCAUUUGCUUCUUAUGGAAUGAGUGAUGUAUUGGACGUCAUCAUUGAUGACGUUCAUUCGAACGAAUGAUAAAGGGGGCUAAGUUCCGUUAAGCUGAGGCAAAUCACUGCGAUUUGGGUCUCUUGAAAACUGGCCGAACACGUUUGCUGAAAUUUGACAUGUAUAUGGACAAGAAUGCGAUCUACCUGUUGGCGUAGGCGUUAUACCUGGGAAAAAUCAAGUUUUCGAGUAUUUUGUGUUGAAAUAUUUUUAUGGGAAACGGCACGCGCGCAUGACGUCAUGAAAAGCGCUUAGGCUAGCUUCCAUCUUGUUAAUAAACAAAGAAACAAAGUUACGCGUUAUUAAUUCAAUAA